AACGAACGCUGGCGGCAUGCCUAACACAUGCAAGUCGAACGAGACCUUCGGGUCUAGUGGCGCACGGGUGCGUAACGCGUGGGAACCUGCCCUUAGGUUCGGAAUAACUCCCCGAAAGGGGUGCUAAUACCGGAUAAUGUCUUCGGACCAAAGAUUUAUCGCCUUUGGAUGGGCCCGCGUUGGAUUAGCUAGUUGGUAGGGUAAAAGCCUACCAAGGCGACGAUCCAUAGCUGGUCUGAGAGGAUGAUCAGCCACACUGGGACUGAGACACGGCCCAGACUCCUACGGGAGGCAGCAGUGGGGAAUAUUGGACAAUGCACUAAAGCCUGAUCCAGCAAUGCCGCGUGAGUGAUGAAGGCCUUAGGGUUGUAAAGCUCUUUUACCCGGGAUGAUAAUGACAGUACCGGGAGAAUAAGCUCCGGCUAACUCCGUG
rnacentral:rRNA from 1 species